rnacentral:rRNA from 1 species
AUUGAACGCUGGCGGCAUGCCUUACACAUGCAAGUCGAACGGCAGCGCGGACUUCGGUCUGGCGGCGAGUGGCGAACGGGUGAGUAAUACAUCGGAACGUACCCUGUUGUGGGGGAUAACUAGUCGAAAGAUUAGCUAAUACCGCAUACGACCUGAGGGUGAAAGUGGGGGACCGCAAGGCCUCACGCAGCAGGAGCGGCCGAUGUCUGAUUAGCUAGUUGGUGGGGUAAAGGCCCACCAAGGCGACGAUCAGUAGCUAGUCUGAGAGGACGAUCAGCCACACUGGGACCGAGACACGGCCCAGACUCCUACGGGAGGCAGCAGUGGGGAAUUUUGGACAAUGGGGGCAACCCUGAUCCAGCAAUGCCGCGUGUGUGAAGAAGGCCUUCGGGUUGUAAAGCACUUUUGUCCGGAAAGAAAUCGCGCUGGUUAAUACCUGGCGUGGAUGACGGUACCGGAAGAAUAAGCACCGGCUAACUACGUG